rnacentral:rRNA from 1 species
CAGUAGCCACGGUAAUACGAAGGGGGCAAGCGUUGUUCGGAAUUACUGGGCGUAAAGGGCGCGUAGGCGGCUUCGUCAGUCAGAUGUGAAAGCCCUGGGCUCAACCCGGGAACUGCAUUUGAUACUGCGAAGCUCGAAUCUCGGAGAGGUUGGUGGAAUUCCCAGUGUAGAGGUGAAAUUCGUAGAGAUUGGGAAGAACACCGGUGGCGAAGGCGGCCAACUGGACGAGUAUUGACGCUGAGGCGCGAAAGCGUGGGGAGCAAACAGGAUUAGAUACCCGCGUAGUCCCUGUCUCUUAUAU